rnacentral:rRNA from 1 species
ACGGGUGAGUAACGCGUGGGUAACCUGCCUUAUACAGGGGGAUAACAGUUAGAAAUGACUGCUAAUACCGCAUAAGCGCACAGGAUUGCAUGAUCUGGUGUGAAAAACUCCGGUGGUAUAAGAUGGACCCGCGUCUGAUUAGCUGGUUGGUGAGGUAACGGCCCACCAAGGCGACGAUCAGUAGUCGACCUGAGAGGGUGACCGGCCACAUUGGGACUGAGACACGGCCCAAACUCCUACGGGAGGCAGCAUG